rnacentral:snRNA from 1 species
GGAUGUGAGGGCAAUCUGGCUGCGACAUCUGUCACCCCAUUGAUCACCAGGGUUGAUUCAGCUGAUCUGGCUGGCUAGGCGGUGUCCCCUUCCUCCCUCACCACUCCAUGUGCGUCCCUCCCGAAGCUGCACCCUGGGUCGAAGAGGACAACCUUCCCCAUAGAGGAGGACCAUUCUUCCGUCAAGGGUACACGAGUAGCUGCGCUCCCCUGCUAGAACCUCCAAACAAGCUCUCAAAUAGACUUUGAUUCAACUGCUGCCUGUGUGAUUGCAAGACUAGCCAUGGACACCAGAAUUUCAAUCACUUCUUAAGAGUUGGUCAAGAAAUAGU